rnacentral:rRNA from 1 species
UACGGGGGGGAGCAAGCGUUGUUCGGAUUUACUGGGCGUAAAGGGCGCGUAGGCGGCGGGGUAAGUCUGGUGUGAAAUCUCGGAGCUCAACUCCGAAAUUGCACUGGAUACUGCUCUGCUAGAGGGCUGGAGAGGAGAUCGGAAUUCACGGUGUAGCAGUGAAAUGCGUAGAUAUCGUGAGGAAGACCAGUGGCGAAGGCGGAUCUCUGGACGCUCCUGGACGCUGAGGCGCGAAGGCCUAGGGAGCAAACGGG